GAUGAACGCUAGCUACAGGCUUAACACAUGCAAGUCGAGGGGAAACGGCAUUACGUGCUUGCACUUUUUGGACGUCGACCGGCGCACGGGUGAGUAACGCGUAUCCAACCUUCCCAUGACUAAGGGAUAACCUGCCGAAAGGCAGACUAAUACCUUAUGGUCUUCACUGACGGCAUCAGAUGUGAAGUAAAGAUUUAUCGGUUAUGGAUGGGGAUGCGUCUGAUUAGCUUGUUGGCGGGGUAACGGCCCACCAAGGCAACGAUCAGUAGGGGUUCUGAGAGGAAGGUCCCCCACAUUGGAACUGAGACACGGUCCAAACUCCUACGGGAGGCAGCAGUGAGGAAUAGUGGUCAAUGGGCGAGAGCCUGAACCAGCCAAGUAGCGUGCAGGAUGACGGCCCUAUGGGUUGUAAACUGCUUUUGUAUGGGGAUAAAGUCAAUCACGUGUGAUUGUUUGCAGGUACCAUACGAAUAAGAACCGGCUAAUUCCGUG
rnacentral:rRNA from 1 species